CAAGGCGCUGCGCGGCGCAUGCAGAAGCAGCCGCGGGCCGGCGGGGCGCGCAGAUAAGGUCUGGGGGCGCGGGUUUCGGGCUGUACCUGCAUUAUCGCGGCUUCCUUAAGCUCGGAUGAAUAUGUAAAUCUCCCGCCGCCGCCUCCCGGAGCCGCAGCCGCAGCCGUGGGGGCCGCCUCCGCUGUAGCAAUUCCGAGGUAUAUGCUACAACCAGCAGACAUGAUGCCAUCAAGACAUCUGGAGCCUGGCUACCUCCCACGGCCUGUAAUGGUCCACAGGAAACUCACGCAGUCUUGCUACAGCAAAUUGAGGUGCUAUAGGGUGCCUGCUGCUCCCUCUCUCCUCACCUUGCCACAGAAGUCUGCCCCACUCUGACCCCCACUUCCGGAGUUUCUACAGGACAUGUUCCAUUUCUUGACCUGGGUGAUGGAUGUCUGGAUAUGUUCACUUCACGAAAAUUGCAUCCAUCAAGACACUCAGGAUUUGUGCACCUUUAUUAGCCAGGAGAAUUCUCAAAUCUUUAUAAAUAAGCAAUCCAGGAGCCAGAGAAUCGUGAGAUCUCGUAUAAAUAAACCAUCCAGGGAAAACAUAGCCAG
rnacentral:lncRNA from 13 species